GUUGAACGCUGGCGGCGUGCCUAACACAUGCAAGUCGAACGAACACACGAGUAGCUUUCCCCUUUCACUUUCGCGUCGCACGGGUGUGUGACAUGUCGAUAACCUUCCCUUAUGACUGGGAUAACCUCCUGAAACCGGUGCCAAUUCCCGCUUAUCUAUUCAACCGCAUGGUUCAAUAGUUUAAGACGGCUUUCCUUCCACUUUUAGCUGGUUCCGCGCCGCAUUAGCUAGUUGGUAAGGUAACGGCUUACCAAGGCAACGAUGCGUAGCCGACCUGAGAGGGUGAUCAGCCACACUGGAACUGAGACACGGUCCAGACUCCUACGGGAGGCAGCAGUGGGGAAUAUUGCGCAAUGGGCGAAAGCCUGAUGGAGCAACGCCGCGUGAGUGAUGAAGGUCUUCGGAUCGUAAAGUUCUGUUAUUAGGGAAGAAGAAAUGUGUGAGAAAAUAUGCACGUAUUGACGGUACCUAAACAGAAAGCCACGGCUAACUACGUG
rnacentral:rRNA from 1 species